rnacentral:RNase_P_RNA from 1 species
AUAGCAGGCCGGGCAAUCGCACUAUACGUGAGGAAAGUCCGGGCUUCAGAGGGCAGGAUGACUGCUAACAGCAGCCGGCAGCAAUGCCAGGGAAAGUGCCACAGAAAAGAAAACUCCGGUCUUCAGGAAAAGCUGAAACGGCGGUGUAAAAGACCACCGGUUCCGCCGAGAGGCGGAAGCCUGGUAAACCCCAUCCGAAGCAAGGUCAAAUAGGAAAGCUGCAUCCGGUGGCCCGCCGGAGCUUUCGGGUAGUACCGCUGGAGGCCGGCAGCAAUGCCGGUCCGAGACAGAUGAUUGCCUAUUACAGAACCCGGCUUACAGGCCUGCUAUCUCU